rnacentral:lncRNA from 1 species
CGAGGUGUGGCUGGAGUGGGGACUCUCCCCUGCCCCCGCCAGCUCCUGCCCACCCUCUUCAUGGAGCUGAAGUCACCCUUGCACAAGGAAUCAGCCCUGCCACCAGAACCGGCAGCCUGGGGCUGACUCCCACCCACAGGGCACCUUGUUUCCCAGGGGAUGGCUUCCUGGUCCCCAGCUCAGCUGGAGGCAGACCCAGAGGAGCCCAGCUUGGUGCCGGAUGCUUCUCCUUGAGGGGGAGUGUGGGGUCUGACCGCAGAGAGAAGCUGGGGGCUGGGUACCCGCAUCUGCCUCUCUUUCCCGGCUGGGGGCCCUUGGGCAUGCUCCCCUCUUGGGGCCUCUGCAAAGUGGUGGUUGAGAAGACCGAUGAAAGAAGGUGGGCUCUGACCACACAUCAGAGCCUCAGGGAGCCACCCCUUCGCAGUCCCCUUCUUAAACAGUCUCAUACUUAUGGCCACUUAAUUAUAUGUAUAACUGUUUCUUAAAUAGUCUCUUCCUCACCAACGUGUAAGUUCCAGAGGUCAAGGAUGGUGCCUGCGUGGAAUCCCUGUGUGUCCCAGGAACACGCACCUGGUCAAUGAAUAAAUGAAUGAGCCAUGCAUGCUUGCAGGUGUUUGUGGAGUGUUUGUUACUGGGCACACUUGUUGCUGGGAUACACAGCUGAGCAAAACACAACCGGAUCCUCCUGCACAUUGCUUACAGGGAGACAAACUUUGCUCAUAUAAUCACUCCUGAACAAGCAGAAUCCAGUACACAGGUGGGCCCUGUGGAAGCACCGUCAAGGCCUUGCUGCAUGCCCUGUUAGGAGGAAGGCCCUGCCACCCCACACUGCCCCAAAGGAACACUUCCGGGAUAGUGCAAGCAUUCCUGGGAUCUUCCUGGGCCCACGGCGCUGGGACCCUGCCCCAGACUCCACUGCUCACAUUGUCACGAGCCGCAGCCCUCUCUGUGUGCCCACAACACCGGUUCUCAACUGGGCACAGCUCCUUCUCCUGGCUUUGCCUGGGCUGUGCUUUACACCUGAAGUGGAACCCCUGCCCUUCCAUCCUGCUCUCCUUCGAGGCCUGCAGAUGCCAUGUCCUCCACACCUGAGGAUUCUGGAGGCCGGCAGGGCUUCUGGACAAAUCUGAGCACUUGCACUCUGGAGGCCCUGCCACAGUGGCUACUGCCCACCACGGACGAUUCUGUAGACCCUGCUUAGAAGAGACUGGCCAUCCAGAACAGCUCUGCUCCCACCCGGAGACUCAAGACUCCGCUCAGGAGUUCAGACUGUCUGGCAGCAGCUGUGGACUGCAGGGGUGAUGGCCGUGGCUGGCACCUGAGGCUGCAGCUCUCAAGACCUUGGUCCGAAGGAUGGGGGCUUCCACUCCCAACUGUGAGCUCACUUGCUGGGAAACUUGCCACACCCAGUGUCUGGACAUCAGAUGAACUUGCAGCCUCUUCCUUCCUUUCCCUUUCCGGUAUUUUAUUGGUGGAGGGCCAUGGGCAUCAGACAUGUGGGUUUUGGGGAGGGAGGUAACGGCAGAGUGGGGUUGGUGAGUAUCAGCCCCUCCUGCGAGCUGUGGGUGCUGCUGUGUGUUAGACAUCCCUGCUAGCUCCCUGUCCCACAUGAGCCCCCGGGUCCUCACUGGGCACUGGCCUCAUUCUCUUCUGGGAUCUCCCAGGCCCUGCACACAGUAAGUGGGCAGCACACAGUCACGAUGGCCACUUUUAACCCCACCGCCUUGAUCAAGACCUGGAGAGCUGGGGCAUCAGAGCGGGGGUCGACAGACUCGGAGGCCAACUGGCCUGGGGUUGAGCUAUUGUUGCCGACAUGGAACCCGAUCCAGUGAUUAAUGGGUCCAGGAAAUGAUCCCUAGCUCAGCUGGCCAGUCCGGGCAGCCUGGCAGCACGGGCCCACGCGGUUCAGGGGAUGGCCAGGAAGGCCUGCCGUGGGAGGGCUGGCGGGGGUGGCUGGCUGAGCUGUGGCUACAAUGCUGGGGCCAUGGGGGUCUGGGGGGGUAUGGACCAAGGGCCCCUUUCCAGGAAUGCAAUGCCCGGCUCCCUCCCUUCUCCCGUGUCUCCUAACAGGGCCCCCCGCCCCUCUCAGUUCCUCCAGGCUUCCUGCCCACAGCUCUGGACCGCUGGUGCCAAUGUGGAGGCAGACAGCUGGCUCCCUAGCCAUCCCUGAAACCUGUCCGAGCCCCUCCCCCACCUCCUGAUUCUAGAUGUCCUCAUCCCCACCCCCACGCUCAAAGGCUCCGGGAGUCUCCCGGGGCACCCCUUUGCACACUGUGGAGUCCUGUGGCCACCCUAGUCGCACGCUGUCCAUCCCUGGGGGUAGAACUUGAACAUCCAGGGUGAGGGGUCCAGGUUCCAGGCCCCGGGGCCAGGCCAGGCAGCCAGGAAGGUGCCCUGAGCUUCGGUCCUUCAGGGCUUGGCACGAGUGAACGUCUUCCCAGGCCAUUGUGUUGCAAUCCUUCUUGGCCACCGACCUCUGUUUCUCUGGCAAUUGCAGGAUUUUGCCGCUGUGAUUUGGGCAAUGUUUUUUUCCUUCUAAAUCACCACUCUGGAAGAAGGGACUCAGCUCAGAAUGAGCUGGCUUCCAUUGUUUCACUUCUUUCCACAAACAGCUCCACAGCUCCCCGCUAGGUACCCGUCCAAGUGUUUCCAGGCAUAAUGGCAGCCCAGGGGUCACCCUGAGGUGGGGCUGCGGCUAGGGCUGCGUGGUUCCCUGGGUUCUGCAGGUCUGACCUCUUGGGCCUGGAGGUUUCCAGGGCGUAGCGUUUGGGCUGCUUCUUGAAGCCCGCUCUGCUCGUGCGCCUGCUCUGGUUGAGCACUUCCCGAGCGCCUGCUGUGUGCGGGGCACAGGCCUGGCGCUGGUCUCCAGUAUCAUUCUAGCCCCACCCUGAGCACUCAGAGGAGCAGACACCUGACGAACGAACGGCAGGACUGGGCUUCCAGGCUGGGUCUGCACCCCCAGCCCCCGCCUCACAUCACUGCGUGCUCAGGGAAGGCGAGCCCGGCCCUGGUAGCUGGGAUUCCUCCCAGGUGCACGUCCUUCACAGUUUCUGAGUCCUUCUCAGAGCCGCUGUGAUCUAGGGCGCCGCUGCAGACUCUGAAGUCCACUUAGUGAUGACUUAUUCCCAUUCCACGCAUCAGUGGCCUCGGGCUCAGAGAGGUCAAGGUGCUUACACAAAGCCGCACAGCUGUAAGUGAUGGGGCAGGGGCUGGACACCAGAUCUGUGUGACUCCUGGUGUGAAGAAGGCCAAACUGGGGCAUCACCACCAGCCUCUGUCCCAGGUGGGAGGUUGGGGAACAGCCCCGCUGUACGUGAAGGGCCUGGUCAUGUCUGGCCUCUCAAGGUGCCCCCCAAAACGAACCCCUCCGUCUCCAUCCCACUCAGUUACGGUGGGUGACUGGGGACUUGCGGGGACAUGAGCCUGAGCUCAUGUUUGGUUCCAGUGAUGGGGAAACUGAGGUCAAGAUGGAGCAGGGUGGGGUUGUGAUGUCCUAGGCCCUUCCAGUGCUGCCGUCCCAGGAUCUCAGUGACGUCUUUUUCUGGGCCCCAUGAUGUUUGCAGCAACACCAAAAGGCCUCUCUGCUCCUUCCUCAUGAGAUCUUGGGCUCUGUCCAAGGCCAACUGAAGACUGGAAAUGGCAAAGAAAAGUUGGUCCCUGUCAUCCUCAAGGGGACCCGAUGCUGUUGGGAUUCUUGGCUCCCCACAUCUGCCUUCCAUGACCUCGCUGUCACCCCGGUAGUGGACAGAGGGGAAGAGGGAGUCGUGGCAGCACUAGACGCAGGCACCGUCCUCGCCCCCUCACUUCUGCCUGGGCCGGCGAUUGUUCUGGCCCCACUACCUGGCAGGGCUGAAGGCAGAGGUUGGGGUGCUCACCUUGCAGCUCCCUCAGGGGUUCUCCAAGAGGGGCUUUCCCAGCCAGGCCCUUCCUCCGCGCCUCCCUCGCCGCCCUCCUUCCUCUUACGGGUCUGCGUGGUCCCAGUGCCUGCUAGGUGGAUGCUUUCUGAAUAAAGGCAUAGACCUUGUGGGGUAGGACAUGCCUAUGCUGAAACCUAUUGACAUUUUAAUAUUCUGCUAACAAAUGAUACAAACUCAUGUUGGUUUAAAAAAAAAACCCAUGGGUCAUCAUUUCCC